AUCGGUUUUAUCACAAUCGAUAGUAUGGAAACAAUGGAAUGUUAACAAAAAUUGCGUUAGAAAAGCGAAUAAAUAGCAGAACUAUAAUAGGAAAGGUAUCAAUUGCAUUUCGAGACACUUAUCUCUUUACAGCAAUUGUAAAUAUGUAUUUCACGCCAGCUUUUCUCGUAGCUGUCGCAGCAUUUGUUGCAUUACUUGAUGGCGCACUAGCAGAACUCCUUCCUCCCAGACGUGAUUGGCCUGGAGACCACCAUCAUGGCAUUUAACACCAUGGGUUUAAGGAACCCCGACCGGGUGACAGGGGCGCUGUACUGACCGGGGGUUCUAUUACCUACAUUUCAUUCCCUGGUUAAAAUUAUACCUUUUACAAAUCAAUUCCAUCAAUACUGUACAAAAAAUCUCCAAAAAAAAGUAAAUGUUUCAACAAUU